ACGUGCCUCGGAUUGACGGUUUUGCGUUGAAACAAGCAUAUGUUAGCAAAGUUUCUUUCAGACGGCACAGGACCAUAGGUUAAUGCAAUUCAGUGCAAUUCUACAUAAUCUGAUUCAUCCAUGAACAAUUUAUUGAGAUAGAUAUGGGUCAACCAUGGCAAGGAUGUACUGCAAUACAUCCAACGAAAGAAGAAGAACACAGUAAGCC
rnacentral:lncRNA from 1 species